CAGCAGCCGCGGUAAUACGUAGGGUGCGAGCGUUAAUCGGAAUUACUGGGCGUAAAGCGUGCGCAGGCGGUUGUGCAAGACAGAUGUGAAAUCCCCGAGCUUAACUUGGGAACUGCAUUUGUGACUGCACGGCUAGAGUGUGUCAGAGGGGGGUAGAAUUCCACGUGUAGCAGUGAAAUGCGUAGAUAUGUGGAGGAAUACCGAUGGCGAAGGCAGCCCCCUGGGAUAACACUGACGCUCAUGCACGAAAGCGUGGGGAGCAAACAGGAUUAGAUACCCCGGUAGUCCCUGUCUCUUAUAC
rnacentral:rRNA from 1 species